GACGAACGCUGGCGGCGUGCUUAACACAUGCAAGUCGAACGGUAAGGGCCUGCUUUUGUGGGGUGCUCGAGUGGCGAACGGGUGAGUAACACGUGAGUAACCUGCCCCUGACUUUGGGAUAACUUCAGGAAACUGGGGCUAAUACCGGAUAGGAGCUCCUGCUGCAUGGUGGGGGUUGGAAAGUUACGGCGGUUGGGGAUGGGCUCGCGGCUUAUCAGCUUGUUGGUGGGGUAGUGGCUUACCAAGGCUUUGACGGGUAGCCGGCCUGAGAGGGUGACCGGCCACAUUGGGACUGAGACACGGCCCAGACUCCUACGGGAGGCAGCAGUGGGGAAUAUUGCACAAUGGGCGGAAGCCUGAUGCAGCAACGCCGCGUGCGGGAUGACGGCCUUCGGGUUGUAAACCGCUUUCGCCAGUGACGAAGCGUGAGUGACGGUAAUGGGUAAAGAAGCACCGGCUAACUACGUG
rnacentral:rRNA from 1 species